rnacentral:lncRNA from 1 species
GAAACGCAAGGUAAAUACCUCCGAACCCCCGGGAGCGGGCGGGGUAAGGACGGAAGACAGGCGCCGGAGCCAGGUGGGCGCCACCCCCGCCCCCUUCCCGAGCACGUGCAGGCAGCUGCAGGUCCCCGUCGCACUCUGGUCGCCGGGCGGGAGGCAGCGGUCCGGCGGGGCGGGCUCCCUCCCCCACGCAGGUCCAGGUCGGGGAGGGGGCGUGCGCGCAGAGCUCGGGGCGCUCGGCCGAAGUGCGCCUCGGGCCGGGAUUCCGCGCGCCAGGGAGCGGAGAAGCUUCUCGGGGCCGGCGGGGAAAGGCAGCGCGCGCUCUCGGCGCUGUCCCGGGAGCUGCGGCCCCGCUCCUGGGUACUAGGCUGCGCGGCCGGCCGGCAAGUGUCGCCGCCCUGUCCCGAGACUCCCUCCCCACCCCCCACCCCGCAUUCCCCAGGUAGCGGCCGUGCCGUCGGAGCUGGUCUGGCGGCUUGGCUGUCCUCGCGUGCUCGGGCCCGUUGCGGAGGAUUUGCGGAACUGCGGCGGUUCUUUCACUGGCGAGCCUCGGCUUUUUCCUUGCACCGGUUGAGGCGGAGGUUUCAGGGCGGCUGCAGCGUUCGCGCUCUUCUGGACGUGCCUGGGGGCGCCCUGCCCUGCCCGGGCCGCGGCUGCGCCGCAGACACCAGCAGCCGCACGAUCCCGACGGCGAGGGGCCGAGGGCCGCCGAUCGCCGGCGCCACGCGAUGGGCGAGCCUCGGGCCGCAGGACCUGCUCCGUGCGUGGGGCACCCCCACUCCCUCGCAGUGCGCCGGGCGGUGCGGUGCCCUCGGGGGCCUGUUACUCGGUGUCCGAGCUCGUGGCGGAAGACCCGCCGGCCGCGGGAGACCGGGGCGUGGAUGUGUUCGUUGUCUGCCGCGCUCACGGGUGCGCGCGGACAUGCGUGCCCGUGGCCAGUGGCGGCGGCUUGGAUUUGGAGCGUACGCGCCGCGCUCGGGGAAGAAGAGGGAGGAAUUUGUGAGGACGGUGGGUGCCCCGGCUAGGGGAAGGGGCGGCCUUUGGGGUCUUCGGCCAGCCGGCCCGGGCGGGGGUCGGCGGCCAGCGGCAAGGACUGGGGUCCGAGGUCGGCUCUGCGGGUGCGGAGAGCGCGAGGCUCCUGCUUUGUCUCCAGGUGACCGGCCUGGCGCGGCGGGAACCCGGAGGCUCGCGCGGCCCCCGGACGGGCACAGGCGGGGCGGGCUGGGGGGCACCUGGGCAGCUCGGGUCGCCGGGACUCCCGCCGCGGCCGCCGGGGCCGGGGCCGGGGCAGCCUUCGGAGGCGAGUUUGUCAACAAUCGC